GAAAAUAAAAGAAAUAGUAAGUAAAAUAUUCUAUUUUCUUAUAAAACAAUAUUUUUAGAGUUAUACGUAAAUAAUUUUUAUAGCGUAAAAGUUAAAUAAAUUCACACAUACUGUAGUACAAUAAGUCAGAGUAUUUAAUUUAAUUUACAAUAACAAGUGGGCCCUCGAAUAAACAAAAGUAAGAGGACUAUGAACCUACAGUUUGAAAAAUGCAAGUCCAAUGGUAGUCCUCGAUGAGAUCAGCUAUCUACAGUCUAUUCUAAGCCUGAAAUGGAAGGAAAGGAGAGUGGUGAGAUUAUAAAAUCCCAGCAAGUAAACAAACAUCAUUUAAAAUAUCUAAAGUCGAGUAAAAGGAGACUAUUAAAACAUUUCAUCUAAAUAUGUUUUUCAUAACAUAAAUACUCAUUUCAUUUAAAUAAUCAACAUGGCUUAUGAGUACUUUAAAAGCUUGGCUCCUGCCAAAAUUAUUCUCGGGGAUACCUUGGCCUAGGCAUCUAACCGAGUCCGCCAAGGCUGUUUAAAAAUUUCGUAUACAUGUAAACAAAUUAUUAGUUUGAAAAACACAGCCGUUCCUUGGUGUUAGCGGAGUUCAUCAUCACGAGGUGGUUCGGCGUGACGUGAACUCUAAUCAUACCUCAGGAGAUACCCUACGUGCCUUUCCAACCGAGGUACAUAUAUAUAUAUAUAUAUAUAUCCGGGCUCUGUGCCCCUCUAAUAGGCUGGUCCACAGAAUCUGCCUACUGCAGCAAGCUAAACCCACCAUACAAUAAAAUUUUGACAGCAUGACAAGGCUAAUAUUUUACUACCCAGCCUGCAAGGGUAAAAUAAAACAAUUCAUACAAUUCAUAAAACACAGCCUAACCAGUCAUGCCAACACGAUAACAAUAUAACAUAAGCCAUCAAUUUCCAAUCAUAAAUUUACAACAUACUGGUGGUCUCCAAUUACUCUAUUUUCAAAAUCGUUAUUUCAUUUCAAGACAAUUUAUAAAAUCUUUUCAUUUAAACACAUUUUUGUUUAUAAAACCUAAAAUUAGCCAUUUAACCCAUUUUUCAUAAAAUUUAACCAAAAUCGAGUUAAAACAUACUUUAGAUAAUUAAAAUGAUGAUAAGGUUACUCACGAUGUCUAGAGUGGGGAUUUUUGAAGUACUCAGACUAUUGGUCCUUGGGUGCAAUUUCCUUGCCUUUAUCGGAGGACUCACCACCUUAACACAGUACAAAAUCGAGAAACUUACUUCAUUGGUACUAAAUUGAAUUUAAAUUAAUUUAAACUACUAAUGCAUGAUAUGGAAUGCAAAAUGCACGAGUGCCCAUCUAAAUUCGGUAUUAGCCUAAUUCGUCUUAUCAACCGAUUAAUUGGCCAACGCAUCCAAUUUAGCUCCAAAUUGCUCCAUUUCUUUUCCAAUAUCUUAAUUCACCAAACUCAAGUCAAAUAGCCUAAAAUUUGACAAAACUAUUUUCACUUUUCUUCUUAGAAUUGUCAGUCAAUGAUGGUGCAUUAACACCAUGAUUUUUCUUACUACUUUUCCACACCAUAAUUCAUCAUUUUCUAACCAAUUCUCUUAAAAUAAAAAUGAAAUUCAUCCUCACUCAACACAAGGUAGGUUCGGCCAUUGAUGGGUGGUGGGGAAUAUGAACUCUUUUUUUGUUGUUUUGUUUCUAGACAGGGUAAACUAACUAAAAACACUAACAUAACUUAGAAUCAAAUCAAUCAACAUCAUUCUCUCUCCAUACCCAUUCUGACCAGCCAUGAAUUCAUCAUGAAAACAUGUAAUUUAACCAUGGAAAAUGAGGAGAAAUGCAUGGGAAAGGUAGAUCACAAGUCAAAAUCAAGAAAUUUUACCUUUUGUCACUUGUUUCCUUGAAUUUCCCACACUUUUCUCUUGAAAUUCUUCACCUAGGGUUUUUGUUUUUCUUUUCUCCCUUUGUUCUUCUUUGUUCUUGGUUUGGCCGGC
rnacentral:lncRNA from 1 species